rnacentral:rRNA from 1 species
GAGGGGGUCCGCUCCUAGUACGAGAGGACCGGAGCGGCCGGGCCGCUGGUGUACCAGCUGUCCCGCCCGGGGCACCGCUGGGUAGCUAAGCCCGGACCGGAUAAGAGCUGAAGGCAUCUAAGCUCGAAGCCGACCCCAAGAUGAGGCCUCCCCAUCAGGGCCCUCCGAGACCAGGAGGUCGAUAGGCCGCAGGUGGAAGCCCGGCAACGGGUGGAGCCGAGCGGUACUAAUAGCCCGAUCGCCUUACG